rnacentral:rRNA from 1 species
GACGAACGCUGGCGGCGUGCUUAACACAUGCAAGUCGAACGGAAAGGCCCUGCUUGCAGGGUACUCGAGUGGCGAACGGGUGAGUAACACGUGGGUGAUCUGCCCUGCACUUCGGGAUAAGCCUGGGAAGCUGGGUCUAAUACCGGAUAGGAGCCAUUUUUAGUGUGAUGGUUGGAAAGUUUUUUCGGUGUAGGAUGAGCUCGCGGCCUAUCAGCUUGUUGGUGGGGUAAUGGCCUACCAAGGCGGCGACGGGUAGCCGGACUGAGAGGGUGGACGGCCACAUUGGGACUGAGAUACGGCCCAGACUCCUACGGGAGGCAGCAGUGGGGAAGAUUGCACAAUGGGCGCAAGCCUGAUGCAGCGACGCCGCGUGGGGGAUGACGGCCUUCGGGUUGUAAACUCCUUUCGCUAGGGACGAAGCUUUUUGUGACGGUACCUAGAGAAGAAGCACCGGCUAACUACGUG